rnacentral:lncRNA from 1 species
GGCUAUAGCCCACCCGUUUAUUGGCCAUUUUUCCGCUGGGGGGUCUUGGCGCCCCGACCUUCGGGGGCUGAUUUUUGGGCGCGGCUGUGCCCGUGGUCUAUUUUUGGCACACGGAGGCCGCCCGCAACGUCUGGGGCCAUUCCAAGUCCGGCGGACGAACUUCGCCCACGCCCCCCACCAAGGCUAUAGCCCACCCGUUUUUUGGCCAUUUUUCCGCUGGGGGGUGUUGGCACCCCAACCUUCGGGGGCUGAUUUUGGGGGGCGGCUGUGCCCGUGGCCUAUUUUUGGCACACGGAGGCCGCCCGCAACGUCUGGAGCCCUUCCGAGUCCGGCGGACGAACUUCGCCCACGCCCCCCACCAAGGCUAUAGCCCACCCGUUUUUUGGCCAUUUUUCCGCUGGGGGGUCUUGGCGCCCCGACCUUCGGGGGCUGAUUUUUGGGCGCGGCUCUGCCCGUGGCCUCUUUUUGGCACACGGAGGCCGCCCGCAAAGUCUGGGGCCAUUCCGAGUCCGGCGGACGAACUUCGCCCACGCCCCCCACCAAGGCUAUAGCCCACCCGUUUUUUGGCCAUUUUUCCGCUGGUGGGUGUUGGCACCCCGACCUUCGGGGGCUGAUUUUUGGGCGCGGCUGUGCCCGUGGCCUAUUUUUGGCACACGGAGGCCGCCCGCAACGUCUGGGGCCAUUCCGAGUCCGGCGGACGAACUUCGCCCACGCCCCCCACGAAGGCUAUAGCCCACCCAUUUUUUGGCCAUUUUUCCGCUGGGGGGUGUUGGCACCCCGACCUUCGGGGGCUGAUUUUUGGGCGCGGCUGUGCCCGUGGCCUAUUUUUGGCACACGGAGGCCGCCCGCAACGUCUGGGGCCAUUCCGAGUCCGGCGGACGAACUUCGCCCACGCCCCCCACCAAGGCUAUAGCCCACCCGUUUUUUGGCCAUUUUUCCGCUGGGGGGUGUUGGCACCCCGACCUUCGGGGGCUGAUUUUUGGGCGCGGCUGUGCCCGUGGCCUAUUUUUGGCACACGGAGGCCGCCCGCAAAGUCUGGGGCCAUUCCGAGUCCGGCGGACGAACUUCGCCCACGCCCCCCACCAAGGCUAUAGCCCACCCGUUUUUUGGCCAUUUUUCCGCUGGGGGGUGUUGGCACCCCGACCUUCGGGGGCUGAUUUUUGGGCGCGGCUGUGCCCGUGGCCUAUUUUUGGCACACGGAGGCCGCCCGCAAAGUCUGGGGCCAUUCCGAGUCCGGCGGACGAACUUCGCCCACGCCCCCCACCAAGGCUAUAGCCCGCCCACCCGUUUUUUGGCCAUUUUUCCGCUGGGGGGUCUUGGCGCCCCGACCUUCGGGGCUUGAUUUUUGGGCGCGGGUGUGCCCGUGGCCUAUUUUUGGCACACGGAGGCCGCCCGCAAAGUCUGGGGCCAUUCCGAGUCCGGCGGACAAACUUCGCCCACGCCCCCCACCAAGGCUAUAGCCCACCUGUUUUUUGGCCAUUUUUCCGCUGGGGGGUCUUGGCGCCCCCACCUUCGGGGGCUGAUUUUUGGGCGCGGCUGUGCCCGUGGCCUAUUUUUGGCACACGGAGGCCGCCCGCAAAGUCUGGGGCCAUUCCGAGUCCGGCGGACGAACUUCGCCCACGCCCCCCACCAAGGCUAUAGCCCACCCUUUUUUUGGCCAUUUUUCCGCUGGGGGGUCUUGGCACCCCGACCUUCGGGGGCUGAUUUUUGGGCGCGGCUCUGCCCUUGGCCUAUUUUUGGCACA